GAAGGUGGCAAGCGUUGUUCGGAUUCACUGGGGGGCGUACAGGGGAGCGUAGGCGGGUUGGGUAAGCCCUCCGUGAAAUCUCCGGGCCUAACCCGGAAAGUGCAGAGGGGACUGCUCGGCUUGAGGACGGGAGAGGAGCGCGGAAUUCCCGGUGUAGCGGUGAAAUGCGUAGAGAUCGGGAGGAAGGCCGGUGGCGAAGGCGGCGCUCUGGAACGUUUCUGACGCUGAGGCUCGAAAGCGUGGGGAGCAAACAGGAUUAGAUACCCUGGUAGUCCACGCCUUAAACUAUGGAUACUAAGUGUCGGCGGGUUACCGCCGGUGCCGCAGCUAACGCAGUAAGUAUCCCGCCUGGGAAGUACGGCCGCAAGGUUG
rnacentral:rRNA from 1 species